GAAGAAACUGAGAUUAUAAAGGAUGUAGAGGACAUAGGGAAAACUACCAUUAAGAUCUCAGAGACAGAGAGUUGAGUGUCCUGAGAGGUCAGAUUGCUGUCAGACAUGGCCCAUGGACAUGGACAUGAGCAUGGACAUCGUAAAAUGGAACUUCCAGAUUACAGACAAUGGAAGAUAGAAGGGACACCAUUGGAAACUAUCCAGAAGAAGCUGGCUGCAAAAGGGCUAAGGGAUCCAUGGGGCUGCAAUGAAGCUUGGAGAUACAAGGGCGGCUUUGCAAAGAGUGUUUCCUUUUUUGAUGUAUUGUUUAAAGGAUUCAAAUGGGGAUUUGCUGCAUUUGUGGUAGCUGUAGGAGCUGAAUAUUACCUGGAGUCCCUGAAUAAAGAUAAGAAGCAUCACUGAAGAUAAUACUUGGAAGUAUCAUAGUGGUUUCUUAACUCUCCAAAAUAAGAUUUCUUCACUGUAGCCUACUCGUCUGGUUUGUCUCUUACAGAAUAUUAGUAAGAUUUAACAAAGUAAAAUAAAAUA